GCGGCCAUCAAGGCGCUGCAGCAGUGGUGUAAAGUCCAGUGUGAUGGCUACAGAGAUGUGGAUAUAAUCAACAUGACCACCUCAUUCAGAGACGGACUGGCUUUCUGUGCUCUCAUCCACAAAUUCAGACCGGACCUCAUAAACUUUGAGUCCCUGAGUAAGGACAAUGUGUAUGACAACAACUGCUUGGAGCAGCUGCCAUGCGGGAGGAUGUGGAGCCCUGUAUAAUUUAAUGAGCCUUGUCCAGGUCAAUCCCAAACAAUACACCUCCCCGGUCCUCUUCUCCAGGUCCUGGCGUGUGCGCAGGAAAUGUGUUAUUCAGUAUCCACUCACUGUCCAGAGCCUGAACAGUGUCGAGAAUAAAGCGUUUCGUGUGGCUGAGGAUCAUCUGGGGAUUCCAGCUCUCCUGGAUGCAGAGGACAUGGUGGCUCUUCACGUCCCAGACCGACUCAGCAUUCUCACUUACGUCUCGCAGUACUACAACUACUUCAACGGUCGUUCACCCACGGGAGGAGUCGGAGGUGUCAAACGGCCUGCAGAGGACUCAAAAGAGGAGCCAUCAGAAAAGAAGAAUCUCCCUGUCACUGCCAAAACCUACAGCCCAAAGACACAUCCGGUGUCUCCUCCCGUCUCCUCCAGUGCUGCUCAAAAUCGUCCACCAUCGCAUUUCGUACAGAACAGUAGCUCAAACAAACAUGUCUCAAGCACUCAGACACAGCAGUGUGCCAUGAAAAAACAAUCCAAAAACAUCAAAAUGGCCUCUCCAAGCACUGAUUCAGCAUCCACAGUGAAGACCCCAAGCAGGAAUGCUGAAAAGACUGUUUUAGUCGAGAGCUCCAAUAAAACCGGCACGCUGAACAGUAAGUGCGCAGUGUGCAGGAGUCACGUUCACUUGGUUCAGAGACACCUAGUGGAUGGGAGACUAUACCACAGGAGCUGCUUCAAGUGCUGUGAAUGUUCAGCUACUUUAAAAUCUGGGGCAUAUACAUCUGGCCAACAGUCUGGCACAUUGUGCUGCUCUUCAUCCCGCUGUACUCGGAUUGGCCUCAAGUCUUCACCUAAGCAUAGCGUGUCAGAUAUGAUCGAACUCAAACCUGAGAGUGGAAGUGGGCUAUCGCCUCGGCAGCAUUCCUCCGUUCUGACCAGCCCUCUUAAACUUGUUCCCAGAUCAGUUCAGCCAACUCCAACCCCAGAGCCAUGGACUGCUUCAGCACGAAGGACUCAAGCUGCCAGGCAGAGGUUUUUCCUUUCCACAUCAGAGGCCUCUACUACCCAGAAUAUCAUUGUACCAAAGUCUGAAGAAGAGAAGGAGCAGGUGCAGACAUUGAUCUCUCAGAAAUUGGCUGAAGGAAACUGCAACAAUAAUAACAAAGCUUAUAGCUGUGGGCUCGGUCCAGACAACACAUCUGUUGAAGUCCUCAGCUCAGAUCAGGAGAGAUGUGGCUCAAGCACUGAAGCUAAAGCUGGCCAUUUCUGCGUUUCUUCCAACACCAGCAGCAUGGAGUCCCUGUGGCUGAGUGGCAUAAACAAAGAGCACACUAGACCUCCCUCCUCUUCCCUCUUCAUCGCCAGAGCCAAAGAUGUGGGGAGCUGUGAAGGCCCAAAGCUGAAGAUGGCUUCAACUGAACCAGGACUAAAAGAAAAAAAAGGUGAAGUCUCUUAUAGCGGCUUACUAAAUGGCUGUCCUUUCUCCAGAACAUUCUUUGAGGAUAAUGGCGUGACUCCUGAAGAAAACAAAAUCGUCUGCAGCGAUAACCAGCCGAGUCACCAGUACACUUCUGUGCCAGGCUUCCAAACCACAAACAUUGCUCAUGUUGCUGAUUUUUACAUGCAUAAAUCUCCAGCCACAGGCUCUACUGUCUCAGGUUGUAUAUCAGGAAAUUACAAAUCCUGCCCAUCCCUCCAGCCUCUAGUGGAUCACAGUAUCUCCUUGAGACCUGCUGCUAUACAGCCAAGAUGUUCUGACUCUGCAGAACAUGCUGAAAAUGGAAGUGCGCCAUUCGAGAACAGAACUAAGCCACUCGGAAUCAAGUCUCGCCACAUCCCGAUUGAGCAGAUCACUAAGGAGCUGCAAGAAAUUGAGAACAGCCUGAGUGAUUUGGAGAAAGCGGGAAUUGACCUGGAGAGAAAGCUCCGCAGCUGUGAGGAAGAGGGUAGCGGGGACAUCUUGGUGGAUCCGUUGAUGGUGGACUGGUUCAACCUGAUUCGGAAGAAGCAGAGUUACAUACGGAGGGAAUCUGAGCUCAUGUACAUAGCGAAAACUCAAGAUUUAGAGGAGCAGCAGCCAGGAGUGGAAGGAGAGCUCAGGAGACUGAUUAAUAAACCAGAGCAUCUGAAAAGCACUUCCGAAAGGAACAGAGAGUCUGAUCUAAUGAAGAGGCUGGUGGAGAUCGUUAAUGACAGGAAUGCCAUCGUGGACGGUCUGGAGGAAGACCGACGGAGGGAGGAAGAAGAGGAUCAGCAGCUGAACGAGAUGAUGCACAGGCUCGAUCUGCGCAAACUAAAAAGCAGGAGAAAGGCGUCCUUCUCGAAGCUGUUCAGACGCAGAAGUAAAAACGAAGGAAGGAAGGAAGAAUGAGCCACGUCCGAGCUGGAGAGUCGCCGCGGCGGUCUCGGCAACAGAUACGCACACGACCAUUCGAGUUCUUCGCAGAACUCUCAGAAGUGUGGCAGAUUUCUGUUGUGAGAUGGUGAGGAGGGUCUCUGAUCUACUGCAGUAGUCUAUAGAGAUUUGGAUAUAGACAUCGUGUUCUCUGUAGAAGGUCACAGGGAGCCUGGAGUCUAUUCCAGGGAGCUCAGCAUAGCAACAUGGGGGACACUCUGGACAGGGUGCCAAUCCAUCGCAGGGCACAAUUCCCACACACUACGGACAAUUUGGAAAUGCCAAUCAGCCUACAGCGCAUUUCUUUGGACUGGUGGAGGAAACUGGAGUACCCGGAGAGAACAACUGAAGCACAGGGAGAACACGCACAGAGGCAGGCCUGUGCUUAUGCUGGCUAAUUAAGCAGUACAGGAUGUCAGUGAUGCUGGGAGACUUCCCCCAUCAUAGCUGGGGAGCCACUCCUCUGAAGAGGAACAUGGCGUGAGCUGGCUUUUGUCAUCUCUCCAUCUCUGUAGGGGAAGAUUCUAUUGAGAAGACAACCUCAAUAACAGCAAUCACAAUCACAUUCGCACUACACACUCUUCAACACAGACGGCCUGCGACGGUGUAAAUUAAGCUCAGAAUGGUGCACGAGUCAUUGUUUUGGAAGGUGGCAGGCAGUGUCCUACACACUUAAGCCACACAAGACCAGAAAUGCAGGCAUGACCCAUCACAAAACACUGACUAAGUGAGAGUACAAAAAACAAAAACAAAAAACAAAGCAGGUUUGGCACUCUAUUGUCGGUGUGAUUAAAAGCAACGAUGGAAUAUUUUAACAUUAAAAAGAAAUCAGAAGAGCAGUGAUGGUGAAUAAUACGUGCUCAGUGUGAGGUAGGACCACUCUUGCAAAGUAACACCCAUUAAAAGCUCAUUUGCACCGUGAGGCAGUUCAUUAAUGCAGGGAAUAGUGAAAUCACACCAAUAGAGCACAGCGUAACCCCAGGGCACUGGCAGGAGCCGGGGUUCACCCUGCCAACAAACUCAACCCCACAGCUCAUUUACACUGGGGAUUACCACUGGCCAGGGUGUUUACUGUUUUAUUGUUUACUCAUAUGUGCAGAGAGAGUGCAGUGUAAGACAUCUGUCAUAAUUUUCGGCAUGGAUACGCCUCAUUUAUGUGUGUGCUCUGUCAAA